rnacentral:rRNA from 1 species
UACGUAGGGUGCAAGCGUUGUCCGGAUUUAUUGGGCGUAAAGAGCUCGUAGGCGGUUUGUCGCGUCGGAUGUGAAAACCCAGGGCUCAACCCUGGGCCUGCAUUCGAUACGGGCAGACUAGAGUAUGGCAGGGGAGACUGGAAUUCCUGGUGUAGCGGUGAAAUGCGCAGAUAUCAGGGGGAACACCGGUGGCGAAGGCGGGUCUCUGGGCCAAAACUGACGCUGAGGAGCGAAAGCGUGGGGAGCGAACAGG